CAGAAAAUUAAGGGGGGA
rnacentral:rRNA from 1 species